CCUACGGGAGGCAGCAGUGAGGAAUAUUGGUCAAUGGACGAGAGUCUGAACCAGCCAAGUAGCGUGAAGGAUGACUGCCCUAUGGGUUGUAAACUUCUUUUAUAUGGGAAUAAAAUGUUCCACGUGUGGGAUUUUGUAUGUACCAUAUGAAUAAGGAUCGGCUAACUCCGUGCCAGCAGCCGCGGUAAUACGGAGGAUCCGAGCGUUAUCCGGAUUUAUUGGGUGUAAAGGGAGCGUAGGUGGAUUGUUAAGUCAGUUGUGAAAGUUUGCGGCUCAACCGUAAAAUUGCAGUUGAAACUGGCAGUCUUGAGUACAGUAGAGGUGGGCGGAAUUCGUGGUGUAGCGGUGAAAUGCUUAGAUAUCACGAAGAACUCCGGUUGCGAAGGCAGUUCACUGGACUGCAACUGACACUGAGGCUCGAAAGUGUGGGUAUCAAACAGGAUUAGAUACCCCUGUAGUC
rnacentral:rRNA from 1 species